AGGAGCACCUCGGAUCCCGCCGGCAAACUCCGUCAGAGCCUCAACCCUAUCCCCGUGGAUAGUGAGGAAGAAGGCGAGCGAGUGCCUGUGCGUGGGCUUCCUCGAAAUCUGGUGCAUCGCGAGCCGUUGCUCAGCACCUGCACCACGUUGACCACGCUGAUGCCCUCGGUGGGCUUCGCCGGGGCCCAUCCGCCGCUGCUGUCCCCGAGGACCUCCAGUCCCCCUUCCGGUGAGCUCCCACAGUCCCUCUUCGUUUCUGGUGUUCUUUGAUGGCGACCGUGGUUCGCUUUUGCGCUGUUUUGCUGCUGAAUUUUUCCUAUUUUGCCGCUGAUUUUUGCUGCCUGAGGCUAACUGAGGGGCGAUUUUUGCAUCUGUGCUCAUCGGCGGCGAGGUUGGCCGCUCCGUGUGGUCAGUUUCUACGGCAGAAAUGCUUGUGUUAGUUCGUUUUUUCAUACUUUUUGGCCUCUGAUUUAGUGGAUGAUGUGGCUCGCGAUGGAAGUAGAGGCGAGGCGAUCUUUUCGUCUGUGUCGUGAUCUGCUCAUGCCCGUUGAGUGCCACCUCCUCGUGCUUUUUGAGGGUAAUGGGCGCGUUUGAUCUGUUCGUGCUGUUAUUGUGAAUUUAUGAUGAUUUAUCGCUAGCAAUGGCUCCUGGAGAUGAUUUACCAUGUACCCCAAUGUGGACACUGGAUAGUAAGUUUUUGGCUUCCAGGUCCAAUGACCCUACCUCUACUCAGUUUAUUUUGAGUGCUUGGUGCAGUGUUUUUAUUUCCUAUUGCUAAAUUAUCUGCACGAGUUGUGCUUUCAGAAAUAACCCCCAUUUCGUAGCGACACGGGAAUUGAAAAUUGUCAAAUUUUUUAAUCAUUCUCUGAACAUCAUUUGGGCUUUGAUCCAGACAUGACAUUGAACAAGGAGAGAGCUUUCUAGAAGGCAUGCUCAGGGAUGGUUAGCUUUUGAAGUCGGUCCUCUGGUAUGGUUCUGUUGAAGACUCUGUGGUCAUGGACACUAACUAAAUUUGCUCCGAUGUUGACCACAGAGGUCUCGAGAGGGUCAGGGGAUAGGCAAACGAGACACGAUUUGUUUUUGCUUGUCGGCGAUGGAGUCUGCUUCCGCCGUCUUCUGCUCAGGUGUUGCGAGGCGAAGACGGCAUAGGCAAGAGGGUUUUUUGAUCCAUAAGCUGAUUUAAGUGGUUUAAUGUGUGCUUGCUGCUUUAAGAUGUUCAUUUCAAUAUCUGCUUGCUGUACAGCUUUCCGAUAAGCUACGGAUCAAAGGAGCACCUGUUCAUUUAGUCUAGUAAUUUUGUAUCGCCUAUGCAUGCAUUUGAACUGAUUUAUCUUAAUUAAUAAGACUUGUAUUCCUUCAUUUCGGUUUCAAGAAGCAAGCUCUCACUUCUGUAACACCAAUACUCUCUUAAUAGUUCAGUCUUGGUUUUCGCUGGUUCAAGAAAUUGCCCCCUUCCGUUUCUUCUCUUUACUAAUAGCUAUGUUACUAGUUGUGACAUUUGCAUUCAAACAAUCCACUUUAACAUCAAUAUAGUUAAGGCUGUAAGUGGAGCAGCUAUAACAUUGAUUUCGUUUUGCUUAAUAGUUCCUUAAUAAGGUUUUGUUAUUCUAUAUCCUUGUGGAUUUGCACAUAUUAUACUAUUUCUGCAUUGGCUCGAUUCAGGUCUUUUGGGGUCAUAUUUUAUAGGAGUGGUAAUCUACUUGUGUUUGAAAAAAUGAUGUUUCUUCUGUUUGGGGCUAUAGGACUUGGCACCGAUUUCUGAGAGUUGUCCGAAAACUAUUUUAGACAGGUGAAACUGUAGUGUAGAAGUUAUCUUGUGUUUUUAGAUAUCCUGGGUCAAAGUCCAUUAAUUUCUGGGAUUUUUUUGGUCUUUUUUGUUGCAGGAGCAGAAUUAUUUUGUUAUAGCAAAAAAGAGAUGGUUUUUCUAUAGCACAGUAACAUGUUUUUAUAACAUGAACAGUCGAUUUGUACGCCAUUUGAUGCAUGCAUCAAGAUCCGUGAUUUUUUGGUGGGCUUUUUUCUUUUUCUUUUUCUUUUUUGGCAAUGACCCGGAUGCCUUUUUGUUGGGCUGUGACCUUUAUUGUUGUACACUCUUGAGAGGGUGAGGUGGAGAGUGAGAGUGAGCCCCCCCUCUUGUUCUAGUGCUCUCCAGUGGUUACUGUGGUUCGUUUGCUCGCGUUUUCACUGCUCUUUUUUGGUUUCCUGAGACGAGAGGUGAGGCGAUUUUGGCAUCUGUUCUCGUCGGCUGGCAUUUUCCUUCUAUUAUUGUCAAGGUGAAAACAGCAGAGGCGGUUUCCUUCUAUUAUUGUCAACAGUGGAGUUUGCCGCUUCUUCCGGUGGACAUAACUUGCUGCAUCUUGUAGCAAACAUGCAGACACAUGCUACAGGGAUGGUUCUGAUACAGAUUCAAGCACUCAACCUGAAGCCCCUGGUUAUAAUUGUUCAGCCACUGCACCCUUUUUUUUAAUUAUUCCUAGGCAAUGUGGGUUUUCAGGACAUAUGCAAGGCACUCCCAAAUUUGGUGUGUCCGCUCAAAAUCUUGACCCUGGUUAUACUUUCAAUAAUUUGCAUCGUUAUCUUCAUUUUACUCAUUAUUCGUUUUUCAUAUAAUCUUUGCCUCAUAAUUUUUUCAAGAUGAAUGUUCUCAGGCCCCCUUCAAUUGGUCGAGAGAAGCAAGAUAAGCUAAUGUUCAGUACUUCUUUCUUUUUCAGGAAUCUGUUUUAAAAUUGCACUAUUUUACAAAUGAAAUUGCACCUUUUUUUUGUGGUGCAACAGUAGCUAUGUCAAAAUGCAAUUUUUAGAUAAUAGGCUUCUAGAGGUUGAUUUUUGCUUUUCUAAAUUAUUGAAUCUAUUGAAUUGCAAUCCUAGCUUUAGCCAUUUUUGUUUUGCAAAUUUUAAUUUAAUUGCCUGAUAUUCAUUAGCCAUUACGAAAUCUGUGCUUAAUGGAGUGCUUGUUUUUGCACCCUUUUAGCAUCGUUGAAAUCCUAGUCUUCUUUAUAGAAUGCUUUGUCUAUUUUUAAAUUGUGUAUUUUAAAUUGCAUUCUCCUGUAGAAGUUUUGCACUAUGAUAUCGCUGCAAUCACAAUGUUGCCAAGUUGCAAUUGCACCGCCUCCUCUACUUGUUUUCAUUCAAUUUUUCAUUCUUUUUAAUUUGUACUUGCAACUAUAAUUGCACAUACUUUCUAAUUGCAAUUCCAGCUCGACGAUAUUUCAAUAUAGGCUGCUUCUACUGUAAUGGCACUUUUGUGCUACUGUAAUUGCAGUUUUUUUGUAUAGUGCAAUCCCAGCAUGGCAUCACCGCAAUUGAUUUUUGUUCCACUCCCAGCAACUGUAAUUGUAUAUUGUUGUUAAGUAUAAACCCCCAUCAUAUUGUAUAUGGAUUUUUCUUCCACUCCAGCAUGGCUGGUUUGUAUAGUGCACUUUCUAGUUAUGUACUUUAUUAUGCU